rnacentral:snRNA from 1 species
UUCUCUCUCUCCCUUUCUCUCUCU